rnacentral:rRNA from 1 species
AGUGAACGCUGGCGGUAGGCCUAACACAUGCAAGUCGAACGGCAGCACAAUAAGAGCUUGCUCUUACGGGUGGCGAGUGGCGGACGGGUGAGGAAUACAUCGGAAUCUACUUUUUCGUGGGGGAUAACGUAGGGAAACUUACGCUAAUACCGCAUACGACCUACGGGUGAAAGCAGGGGAUCUUCGGACCUUGCGCGAUUGAAUGAGCCGAUGUCGGAUUAGCUAGUUGGCGGGGUAAAGGCCCACCAAGGCGACGAUCCGUAGCUGGUCUGAGAGGAUGAUCAGCCACACGGGAACUGAGACACGGUCCAGACUCCUACGGGAGGCAGCAGUGGGGAAUAUUGGACAAUGGGCGCAAGCCUGAUCCAGCCAUACCGCGUGGGUGAAGAAGGCCUUCGGGUUGUAAAGCCCUUUUGUUGGGAAAGAAAAGCAGCAGGUUAAUACCCCGCUGUUCUGACGGUACCCAAAGAAUAAGCACCGGCUAACUUCGUG